ACGCUCGACACCUACGGGGGGCAGCAGUGGGGAAUAUUGCACAAUGGGGGAAACCCUGAUGCAGCGACGCCGCGUGAGCGAAGAAGUAUUUCGGUAUGUAAAGCUCUAUCAGCAGGGAAGAAACUGACGGUACCUGACUAAGAAGCACCGGCUAAAUACGUGCCAGCAGCCGCGGUAAUCUGAGCGGGCUGGCAAGGC
rnacentral:rRNA from 1 species